rnacentral:rRNA from 1 species
UAGGGAAUCUUCGGCAAUGGACGGAAGUCUGACCGAGCAACGCCGCGUGAGUGAAGAAGGUUUUCGGAUCGUAAAGCUCUGUUGUUAGAGAAGAACGUUGGUAGGAGUGGAAAAUCUACCAAGUGACGGUAACUAACCAGAAAGGGACGGCUAACUACGUGCCAGCAGCCGCGGUAAUACGUAGGUCCCGAGCGUUGUCCGGAUUUAUUGGGCGUAAAGCGAGCGCAGGCGGUUCUUUAAGUCUGAAGUUAAAGGCAGUGGCUUAACCAUUGUACGCUUUGGAAACUGGAGGACUGGAGUGCAGAAGGGGGGAGUGGAAUUCCAUGUGUAGCGGUGAAAUGCGUAGAUAUAUGGAGGAACACCGGUGGCGAAAGCGGCUCUCUGGUCUGUAACUGACGCGGAGGCUCGAAAGCGUGGGGAGCAAACAGG